rnacentral:tRNA from 1 species
GGGGUCGUAGUCUAACGGCAGGACGGGGGCCUCCAGAGCCUCAAGUCCAGGUUCGAGUCCUGGCGACCCCA